GUGGAAACUGCUAUUUCUAUCCAUUCUGGCUUUCUGCUCAUCAAGCUGUGUUUUUGUGUGUGUCCUUCUGUAUAUGUGAAGAACUCUCAAAUUACUGCUAUUUUCCUUCAUUUUGUUUUGUUUUUCCUUCGAGUUUUGAAUAUUUUGCAGCAAUAACAGAAAACAGAAUUGUUCAGAGUCCAACAUUCCUCAUUAGUCAUUCACCAGAACUUGUAAUAAGAUGGAUAAAGAUAAUGGGAAGCAGAGAUCAAUCACUACUCUGUUAUACUGUGUGUGAAGUAAUUUGUGAUACAGAUGCAACCCAGUAAUGCUGAGGCCUGACUCGGAUGUUUUAGAACAUAUACAGAAGUAAUCAUCCAGAGAUGAAAUCCUGUGACAGGAAGGACAGUUUUGGAUUACAACUGAUAAACCCCCACCAAUACAUGGCUCAAAUCAACCAACAAGUAAUGAGUAUUGCUAUGGACCAGUGAGACAGGGAAAGGCCUGCUUGUCUGUCUUAGGUGCUAAAAUUAUAAUAUGAAAAGCUUAUUCUCUAAUUGAAUCUGAAUCAACAAUGAUUAUAAACAUCUGUAUGCAGAAAAUUAAAUUCAGAAAUCUAUUCUUUAUGUUUUUAUACCAGGCUAAAUACAAAAAACAUAUUUAUCUGCGAUUUAUCCAAAUCUCUUCAUAGUAUCUUUACCCUAAAACUCCCACCACUCCCCACACAACUCCUGAUCUUCAUUUUCUUCCAUUUGCAGGAAUUCCACCCUAACCAUCCUCCUGCUCACUCUCCUACCUGCUUCAAUAUGGGGAAGAUUUACAGAUGAGUAUAAAAUGGGAAUAAAGUAGGCAAAGCCAGGGUGGAAUUUAGGAAAGCUUACAAUUUGAUAAGGAGUAGCCCAGAUAAGGCCUGAAUGGUGAAUUGUGGUCUGACUGCGAAGGUUCUGGCUGGAGGGCUGGACUUGAUACCUCUGGAAUCAGAGGCAUGUGUUAGAUAGAUUAUACCAACGAUAGUAUUUAGGGCUAAUUGACUAGAGCAGAAGCUGGAGACUUGAGAGUAGUUAUGAAAAAAAUCAAAAUACAUUAAUACACAUGACAUUAUAGAACUUGGCUUUUGGCAGUGAAAGUGGAAGUGGAUCAGAGAAGAAGGAAUGAAAAAAGAAAAAAGAGAUCCUAUGCUAGAAAAAUGUAACUUUCCCCUUCAAUUGCAUAAAUCUCAAAAGCAGCAUGUUCACCCCAUAGAAUGCUAGGUAUCUGCUUGUGUUAGUCCCAUACACUUAUAUUAUUCUCUCACUGAUAAGGUAGAGGAAGAGGAAAGAACAAAUAAGGUUAAGUGUUAUCAUGACAGUUCAGUGGUCAUCAGCUAAGGACAAUAAAAUUUACUUAAGAAGACUAAUGCUGCAAACAUCGUUCUUGUUAGAAAAACCUCCUUACCUCCACUCUGACCCACAUGAACAGGAAGCAUGGACCAGGCAAUUAAUGAACUAACAUUUUGUCACAACAUCUAGAUAACAUGAACGUUGGAUUUAUCCAAUGUUAGGUGGCUACCGUGAAUCAGAGGCUGCAGGGAGGCACCCAGGCGGCAUUAGAUUGGGGAGACAGCAGAAGUAGCAAACUAGGGCCGUAUGGUUCUGGAACCAUUCCUACCAAAAUUCUUCAGAUAGUAAAUGGAAUGGAGAAACCAAAUGUUAGAAAAAAUUAGAAAGAAAUCAAAAUAGGGAGAUAAUACCAUAAUGAUCCUUUAUGAUUAAAGAAAUAUUACUAUGAGUUGUAUUUACUUUGUGUAAACUGAACUGUGAUGACAUUAUAUAGUACUGUAGAAUAGAAACAAAGUUUAAGGAGCUCUCAAGGUCAUUUGGUCUAACUUCUCACUUUUACAGAAAUGUUGUGUAUAGAAUCUCUAAUAUGUGACUAGCUGCAUCAGCCUCAAUCAUCUCAAUCAUAGCAAUUUUUUCUGCCAAUGAAAACUACAAAGGCAUUUCAUUUGGAGAAUCUGAAUCCUGAAGGUACCUUCAACUACAUCCCUUUUACCUUUACUCAUCAUAGUUCUGUUAACAGGAGGCAACUGUCUAUUCUAUUUCCUUAUGACAAUUCAAAUAUUUGCAGUUUUGUGUGUUUUUCUCCUGUUGUCAUUAAGAUAAAAUCCAAAUUCCAGACUGGCAAAAGCCUCUUAAAACGUGAUACUUAGACUCAAAUACAGUAUCCCAGAAAUCAUCUAAUCAAUAAAAGAAUGAACAUAUAAACUUCCAUGUUUGGGAAAUUUAUAUUUCUUUUAAGACAGCCUAAUGUGCCUUACCCGCUUCAUUAGACACUUCAUUCAUCCAUUCAAUAAUUAUUUACUUGAUUCACACCAUAUUCCAUGCACUGUUUUAUAUGCUGUGAUUAGGUAAAGAACAGAAACAGGUAAGGUCUGUGUUUUUAUAGAGCUUAUGUUAUGGUAGAGUAGAAAAAAACAUAAUGAAGAAAAAAAUGACUAACAUAAAUUCAGAGGAUCAGCGCUACAAAGCUGAAAACAAAAUAAGGGUGGUGUGAUACCCUAGAAUGGGAUAACUAAGUGAUUAAUUUAGAGAGGAGGAUGUGGGAUGCCAUUUUAAGGACAUAAUAUUAGAGUCAGGCUAUUCUUGGAAAUAUAUGGAAAAGAGCAAUCUAGACAGAGUGAAGAGUGACUGCAAAGUUUCUAAAGGGCAGAUGCUUGGCACAUUCAAGGUGCAGAGAAGCUAGUGAAGCUAGAGUGAAGUCAGGAAGGAGGGGGGUGAAAAUAGGUGAAACUGGAGAUGGAGUAUUUGAUCUUAUUUGCAACCAGAAACCACCGGAGGGUAGUAAAGAGGAGUGUGGGAUGUUCUGACCUUCAAUGUGAUCCUUGAUGCAACUGCAGUUGACUCUUGAUCAAUGAGGGACUGGGGCACUGACCGCCUGGGGCAAUGUUGAAAAUCCACAUAACACUUUUGACUCCUGGCUAAUUUAACUACCAAUAUCCUACUGUUGACCAAAAGCCUUAUCAAUAAUAAAUAGUCAACACAUACUUUGUAUAUUGUAUGUAUUAUAUACUGUAUUCUUGCAAUAAAGUAAGUUAGAGAAAAGAAAAUGUUAAGAAAAUCCUAAGGAAGAGAAAUAUAUUUACUAUUCAUUAAGUGGAAGUGGAUCAUCACAAGGUCUUCAGCUUCUUCAUCUUUACAUUGAGUAGGCUGAGGAGGAGGAGGAAGAGGAGGGACCGGUCUUGCUGUCUCAGGGAUGGCAGAGGUGGAAGAGGUGGAGGAGGUGGAAGGGGAGCAGGAGAUGCAGGCACACCCAGCGUAACUUUUAUUGAAAAACAUCCAUGUGUGAGUGGGCCCAUGCAGUUCAAACCGUUUUCGUUCAAGGGUCAACUGCAUUUGUUUUCUAUUGAGUCUACUCAUUAUAUACCCUGCUUUAUUUCCUCCCUUGGACUCAUCAAUUAAAUAUUAUUAUGUAACUCUCUUCUAAAUUACCUUAUUAGUUUUACAUUAUUUAUCUUCUGUAUUACAUUAGGCUUUCUUGACUUACUAAUAUCUAAUUUUAAUUAGUGUUUUUUGUUUGUUUUGUUUUUUUUUUUUGACAGUCUCACUUUGUCGCCCAGGCUAAAGCGCAGUGGUGUAAUCUCCGCUCACUGCAAUGUCUGCCUCCCAGGUUCAAGCAAUUCUACUGCCUCAGCCUCCUCAGUAGCUGGGAUUACAGGCAAAGGCCACUGUGUCCAGCUAAUUUAUGUAUUUUUAGUAGAGACGAGGUUUCACCAUGUUGAUCAGGCCGGUCUCAAACUCCUGACCUCAGGUGAUCCACCCACCUCAGCCUCCCAAAGUGCUGGAAUUACAGGGGUCUCUAAUUACACCUAUGUUAGACUGUUUUGUUUUUUGUUGUUGUUGUUGUUUUCAGUUUUUUGUUUUUUUGAGAUGGAGUCUCACUUUGUUUCCCAGGCUGGAGUGCAGCUGUGCGAUCACAGCUCACUACAGCCUCCACCUCCCAGGUUCAAGCACUUCUCCUUCCUCAGCCUCCCGUGUAGCUGAGAUUACAGGCACACGUCACCACAUCCAGCUAAUUUCUGUUUUUGUGGAGACAGGGUUUCACCUUGUUGGCCAGGCUAGUCUCAAACUUCUGACCUGAGAUGAUCCGCCUGCCUUGGCCUCCUAAAAUGCUGGGAUUACGGGCACAAGCCACCACGCCCAGCUUGUUAGACUGUUUUUAAAGUCCAUAUCUCUCUUAUUCUCUUUUCUGUAUUUUUCCAUUCCCUUUUCUCUUUUUGUUUCAAUCUAAAUAUUUUCUACUGGCCUAUUUUCUAUUCAGAAAUCAGAUUCACAAAUCCUCUCUCUAGCUGUGUUGAAUCUCUUAUUCUAUUGUUUUCUUAAUUUCAAUUGUUUUUUUUCAUUUCUAAAACUGUUCUUUAUUGUUUCUAGUUUUUUGGAAAAUUUCCCAAUCUUUUCUUCUAACUUUUGAACAUAUCAAUCACAAUGAUUUUAAAAUCUGUUUUUGAUAAUUCCUAUAUCCAUCCCGUAGGGGCUGUCUUUUUUCUUUCAUUUAAUUAUUAUUUUUUUUCCUGUCUCUUUGUGUGUCUGCUAAUUCUUAAUUAAAUGCUAGAAAUUGUAUGAAGAAUUGUGUAUGCUCUGGCUUAUAAUUUUUCUUCAGAGAGGGGUUUGUUAGCUGAUGGUGGAUAGGUAAAGUAGUAGCCUAUCAGCGAAAUCUGUUAAAGAUGAAGCUCAUUUGAGCCUAGGUUUUCGUUUUUGUAAGGCCUAUUCUCUAUUUCUGGUUUGCCUUUUUGUGUGUGUGUGAAAUACAGCCUUUUUGGAGUCUCAAAUGAAAUGCUGGGCCAUUUCUUUGUAUUCUACCUACUUGCUGAUUCUUGCUAAUUUAUUAGAAGUUUUAAAAACUUUUAUACAUUAAUAGUUUUGUUGCCAAUGUUUACACUGCAUUUUCCUAUCACUGCCUGAUUGUACUGGAUUUCACCAGUAUGAUGAUUGCAAUAUGUUUUUGGUGGAUGCUCUAUAUGAGACUAAGAAAUCUCCCUUCUAUUAUUAGUUUUUAA